CCAACCCCGGCCGGGGCGCGAGCAGCGCCGGCCCCGUCCCUGCCCGUCCCUCCGCCCUGCCCGAGGCGGGGAAGGGGGAAGUUGCAGCGCCCGCGAUCGGCGGCUGCAGGCGGGGGCAGAACGGGCAGCUCAUCUCCGGCACCGCGCGCGGCGGCAGGGAAGGGGCUGCGUUACCUUCAACAGGUGCAGACGCCGGCGGAGGCAGCCCGCGGAGCGGACCCUCGGCGCGGAGGCGGCUCCCGGCAGCCCGGGGCGGGCAGCGGCGCAGGGCGGAGGCGGCUCCGGCAGCCCCCCGGCGGCCGCCCCUGCUCCCAGCGGGCCCCGCCGCCGCCUCGCCGGAGUCAGCGCGGAGGCGGCAGCGGCUGCGGCCACCUCGGAGAGAGAAGGGAGGGAGGGAGGAAAAGAGGGAGGAGAGAGAGAGAGAGAGGAGGCAGCGAGAGAGCAGAAAAAAGCGCCCCGAGAGGGAUCGAUCGACCGUCACAUGGCGGUCGCGAUCCGCCACCGCCCCCCGACAGCCGAAGCCUACGGCGGGGAGCCGGAGAAAAGCUGCGAGGAGGGGACACACCUGUAGGCGCAGCACAUAUCCGCUGUGAGCACAAUGCGAGACAGGAAACUGAAAAAAACAGCCCAGGGAAGGAGAGAGGCUCCCGUUCGUCCCUCCUUCCCUCGCUCCCUCCCUCUCUCCGUCCUCCUCCUCCUCCUUCUGCUCUCUCCACCCCCUGGCCCUGGUCAGGCUCCGCUGUCUCCUGCAGGCAGAACCAGGCGGAGGGUCGGCGGGAGGAAGGAGCGGCACUUUCUCCCUUUCCCUUCCCCUCUUUUCAUUGUUCCGCCCGCCGGCCAGGCGCGGCCGGGGGGUUCCCCCGCGGGGCCGGGAGCUGCCGGGUAUCGCCGGGAGCCUCGAGCAGCGGCCGAGCGCAGCGCCACCGGGAGCCGAGAUCGGACCGGGCCGUGCCGUGGUCGCUGCUCCAGCUCCGGGAGCCGAGCGCCGGGCUACCGCGGGGCCGGGAGCAGGGCAGUGGUGCAGGGCAGUGGUGCAGGGCAGUGGUGCAGGGCAGUGGUCCUGCCUGGGCCGUGCCUGGCUGCAGCGGGGGGUCUCCUCGCUUUUCCGUGGACCUGGGGUACCAGGCGCGUUCCCGCGUUGUGUUGGAGAUGCUCCUGAAUGUGUAG
rnacentral:lncRNA from 1 species